GGAUCCAGACUUUGAUUCUGGCUCAGGAUGAACGCUAGCUACAGGCUUAACACAUGCAAGUCGAGGGGCAGCGGGAUUGAAGCUUGCUUCAAUUGCCUGCGACCGGCGCACGGGUGAGUAACGCGUAUCCAACCUUCCGUACACUCAGGGAUAGCCUUUCGAAAGAAAGAUUAAUACCUGAUGGUAUGAUGAGAUUGCAUGAUAGCAUCAUUAAAGAUUUAUCGGUGUACGAUGGGGAUGCGUUCCAUUAGGUAGUAGGCGGGGUAACGGCCCACCUAGCCAACGAUGGAUAGGGGUUCUGAGAGGAAGGUCCCCCACAUUGGAACUGAGACACGGUCCAAACUCCUACGGGAGGCAGCAGUGAGGAAUAUUGGUCAAUGGACGAGAGUCUGAACCAGCCAAGUAGCGUGAAGGAUGAAGGUCCUACGGAUUGUAAACUUCUUUUAUAAGGGAAUAAACCCUCCCACGUGUGGGAGCUUGUAUGUACCUUAUGAAUAAGCAUCGGCUAACUCCGUGCCAGCAGCCGCGGUAAUACGGAGGAUGCGAGCGUUAUCCGGAUUUAUUGGGUUUAAAGGGAGCGCAGACGGGUCGUUAAGUCAGCUGUGAAAGUUUGGGGCUCAACCUUAAAAUUGCAGUUGAUACUGGCGUCCUUGAGUGCGGUUGAGGUGUGCGGAAUUCGUGGUGUAGCGGUGAAAUGCUUAGAUAUCACGAAGAACUCCGAUUGCGAAGGCAGCACACUAAUCCGUAACUGACGUUCAUGCUCGAAAGUGUGGGUAUCAAACAGGAUUAGAUACCCUGGUAGUCCACACGGUAAACGAUGGAUACUCGCUGUUGGCGAUAUACUGUCAGCGGCUUAGCGAAAGCGUUAAGUAUCCCACCUGGGGAGUACGCCGGCAA
rnacentral:rRNA from 1 species